GACGAACCGUGCGAACGUUAUUCGGAAUCACUGGGCUUAAAGGGCGCGUAGGCGGGUCAUCAAGUCCGGGGUGAAAUCCCACGGCCCAACCGUGGAAGUGCCUCUGAUACUGCCGGCCUCGAGGGGGAUAGGGGCGUGCGGAACUCAGGGUGGAGCGGUGAAAUGCGUAGAUAUCCUGAGGAACACCGGUGGCGAAGGCAGCCCCCUGGGUCAAGAUUGACGCUCAUGCACGAAAGCGUGGGGAGCAAACAGG
rnacentral:rRNA from 1 species